rnacentral:tRNA from 1 species
GCCUGGGUGGCUCAGUCGGUUAAGCGUCUGACUUCAGCUCAGGUCAUGAUCUCAUGGUUUGUGGGUUUGAGCCCCACAUCAGGUU